rnacentral:rRNA from 1 species
CCUACGAGAGGCAGCAGUGAGGAAUAUUGGUCAAUGGGCGUAAGCCUGAACCAGCCAAGUCGCGUGAGGGAUGAAGGUUCUAUGGAUCGUAAACCUCUUUUAUAAGGGAAUAAAGUGCGGGACGUGUCCCGUUUUGUAUGUACCUUAUGAAUAAGGAUCGGCUAACUCCGUGCCAGCAGCCUCGGUAAUACGGCGGAUCCGCGCGUUAUCCGGAUUGAUUGGGUUUAAAGGGUGCGUAGGCGGCCUUUUACGUCAGGUGGGAAAGUUGGUGGCUCAACCAGAGAAUUGCAGUUGAAACUGGGAGGCUUGAGUAUGUUUGAGGCAGGCGGAAUGCGUGGUGUAGCGGUGAAAUGCUUAGAUAUCACGCAGAACCCCGAUUGCGAAGGCAGCCUGCCAAGCCAUGACUGACGCUGAUGCACGAAAGCGUGGGGAUCAAACAGGAUUAGAUACCCGGGUAGUC